GAGUUUUGUGGAGGCAUCUUAGACUGCGGACGUGACAAGAGGCAAUAUGAAGUGGUCAAUAAUGGUGUUAGUCGCUCUGGCAGCGAUGUGCACAGCUGAUGAUGUACCUCCUUCUGUCACUUUUGCCGGCCCCGCGGCUCAUGUCUCAGCACUGACGACGUCUCUCAACUAGCAUAUUCUCCAAGGCAAAUAAACGGUGAAUAAUGAAGAUCCUCGUCCUCUUCUCCAUGUUGAUGGCAGUCGCGUUCGCCGCGAACUACGGAGCUCCCGUCCCGCUGCACCACUCCGAUGCAGUUCCAUUGCAUGCUGCCUCAUCCGGAGGAUCGACGGGGGCAUAUUGUUACGAUUCGUACCAAUGCGUUAGCAGUUGCUUGGCGUCCUGCUCUGAGGCUCUCACUGCUAGGUGUAUAGAACGCCAGUGUUAUUGCGGUGUUUGAAAAUAUGCCUGUACAUAUUGAUUUAAUGUGAACAUUAUAAAAUGUGAUUAGAAAAAAUCAAAAAUUUUAC